AGUAGUCCAAGGGGAUGGUGGUCUCCCAAACGAAGAGAGAUGUUGCUCCAACGGGAUAGUUAUCCAGGAGGGAUAAGUCCCGGCUCUCUAGAGGGAGAAUCAUGUGAGACGGACCUCACAUGUUGAGGAGGAGUACCUCAACAAACAACAACUCCACGAAGCUCGAUGGACUGAGCAAGCGGCGAGGAGUCGUCGCAUGAUCUCGCUUGAGA
rnacentral:lncRNA from 1 species